rnacentral:rRNA from 1 species
GACGAACGCUGGCGGCGUGCUUAACACAUGCAAGUCGAACGGUAAGGCCCUUCGGGGUACACGAGUGGCGAACGGGUGAGUAACACGUGGGUGAUCUGCCCUGCACUUCGGGAUAAGCCUGGGAAACUGGGUCUAAUACCGGAUAGGACCCUGGGAUGCAUGUCCUGGGGUGGAAAGCUUUUGCGGUGUGGGAUGGGCCCGCGGCCUAUCAGCUUGUUGGUGGGGUGAUGGCCUACCAAGGCGACGACGGGUAGCCGGCCUGGGAGGGUGACCGGCCAGACUGGGACUGGGAUACGGCCCAGACUCCUACGGGAGGCAGCAGUGGGGAAUAUUGCACAAUGGGCGCAAGCCUGAUGCAGCGACGCCGCGUGAGGGAUGACGGCCUUCGGGUUGUAAACCUCUUUCAGCACCGACGAAGCGCAAGUGACGGUAGGUGCAGAAGAAGGACCGGCCAACUACGUGCCAGCCGCCGCAGUAA